GAUGAACGCUGGCGGCGUGCCUAAUACAUGCAAGUCGAGCGAACGGACGAGAAGCUUGCUUCUCUGAUGUUAGCGGCGGACGGGUGAGUAACACGUGGAUAACCUACCUAUAAGACUGGGAUAACUUCGGGAAACCGGAGCUAAUACCGGAUAAUAUUUUGAACCGCAUGGUUCAAAAGUGAAAGACGGUCUUGCUGUCACUUAUAGAUGGAUCCGCGCUGCAUUAGCUAGUUGGUAAGGUAACGGCUUACCAAGGCAACGAUGCAUAGCCGACCUGAGAGGGUGAUCGGCCACACGGGAAGUGAGACACGGUCCAGACUCCUACGGGAGGCAGCAGUAGGGAAUCUUCCGCAAUGGGCGAGAGCCUGACGGAGCAACGCCGCGUGAGUGAUGAAGGUCUUCGGAUCGUAAAACUCUGUUAUUAGGGAAGAACAUAUGUGUAAGUAACUGUGCACAUCUUGACGGUACCUAAUCAGAAAGCCACGGCUAAAUACGUG
rnacentral:rRNA from 1 species